GACAGCCCGGAUGUUGGCUUAGAAGCAGCCACCAUUUCAAAAGUGCGUAACAGCUUACGGGUCGAGCCAUCCCGCGCCGAAAAUGACGGGGACUCAAGCGUCGCGCCGCAGUCGCGGACUCUGUUAAUUCAGAUUGGUAGGAGAGCGUCGAUAUCCGCAGCGAAGCCGCACCGGCGAGGAGCGGUGGAGCGAUAUCGAGUGCGUAUGCCGGAACGAGUAACGACAAGAUGGGUGGGAAGCCCAUCCGCCGAAAGCACAAGGUUUCCUGGGGAAGGUCAAUCCGCCCAGGGUCAGUCGGA
rnacentral:rRNA from 14 species